GAUGAACGCUGGCGGCGUGCCUAAUACAUGCAAGUCGAGCGAACAGACGAGGAGCUUGCUCCUCUGACGUUAGCGGCGGACGGGUGAGUAACACGUGGAUAACCUACCUAUAAGACUGGGAUAACUUCGGGAAACCGGAGCUAAUACCGGAUAAUAUAUUGAACCGCAUGGUUCAAUAGUGAAAGACGGUUUUGCUGUCACUUAUAGAUGGAUCCGCGCCGCAUUAGCUAGUUGGUAAGGUAACGGCUUACCAAGGCAACGAUGCGUAGCCGACCUGAGAGGGUGAUCGGCCACACUGGAACUGAGGCACGGUCCAGACUCCUACGGGAGGCAGCAGUAGGGAAUCUUCCGCAAUGGGCGAAAGCUUGACGGAGCAACGCCGCGUGAGUGAUGAAGGUCUUCGGAUCGUAAAACUCUGCUAUUAGGGAAGAACAAAUGUGUAAGUAACUAUGCACGUCUUGACGGUACCUAAUCAGAAAGCCACGGCUAACUACGUG
rnacentral:rRNA from 1 species